GUCACUUUGCCGGAGUGGUUAACGGGAUCGCCUGCUAUGAAGCAUACAGCGGUUGCUCUUUGAGCGCGUGUGUUCGAAUCGCACAGGUGACG